GUUUAUCCCAAUACAAUCUAUAGUUUUUUCCUCUCCUGUAAAAAGCUUUGUCAAAUAUUCGUUAUCACUUUUGCCGUUAUGUUUUACUCACAAAAACCUACAGGAUGAGCAACUGUAAAAAUUCAAUUGAAAUUAAAUGAUCACGUGACUCUAUUUUUAUUAAUUUUAUUCCCUUAUAAAAAUAUUCCUAGACUUUUCAGGUGUGUGUACCUACAUAAUUUUACUAGUAUUCACGUGUAGCCCCAUUCUUUUUGCUGCUGCUUCCAAUGCCGUGAACGAUUGGAUUAUUUUAUUUGACUACUGUUUUAAGUAAAGAUUUGAUACAAAAAUCUAAAUAUUCUCAACUACAACUACAGUUUUCCUAAUUAAAUGAAUCAAUUUCCGUAGUGUGGUUGGGUAGACACGCUCAUUAUAGUUUCUGAUUGUAUGGUGGCGCUGUUGUCAAUGUCAAAGUGUCAAGUCAAAAUUUGUGAUUCACAAAAAUCAAGCAAAAAUCAGUUAAUCAGUUAUUUCAAAAUGGUUUACGCUUAACUGUUAAGUUAAGUAAGAUAAGACAAAGACACGAAAAUUCCAGUGAAUUUGGUAGCAGUUACAAAGAAUUUUCUCCAGAAUUUAUACCUCAACCUGUGAUCAAACUGUUAAUCAAGUAUAUCUGGCCGAAUUGUACAAGAGAAAAAUAUCUUUACCACUCAAGAGGGAACGCCUUCCUUAUUGCUGAGAUUGCUAAAUUUUAUCCACAAGACUAGCAUAAUAGCAACGAAUAUUACGCCAUAAGCGUCUAUAUUCGUGUAUAAUAGGGCACAACUCAUCAGAAAUCACUGUUUUGGGAUGUCCUGCAUGACAUAGGAUAUCUACACAUAGCACAUCUACACGUGAUAUUAUUACUUGAAAUUGGCAGACUUUGGAAUACUGUUUGAUUUGAGUAAGGACUCUGCAGGAGUGAUGAAGUGUGACUGUCAUUAUCUUAACUGGAUGGCUUUCCUUUUUUCAUGUGAGUAGAAAUUAGAAGAUAAGUUAUACGCCAAGAA